rnacentral:rRNA from 1 species
GACGAACGCUGGCGGCGUGCUUAACACAUGCAAGUCGUACGGUAAGGCCCUUUCGGGGGUACACGAGUGGCGAACGGGUGAGUAACACGUGAGUAACCUGCCCACAACUUUGGGAUAACGCUAGGAAACUGGUGCUAAUACUGGAUAUGUGCUCCUGCUGCAUGGUGGGGGUUGGAAAGCUCCGGCGGUUGUGGAUGGACUCGCGGCCUAUCAGCUUGUUGGUGGGGUAGUGGCCUACCAAGGCGGCGACGGGUAGCCGGCCUGAGGGGGUGACCGGCCACAUUGGGACUGAGAUACGGCCCAGACUCCUACGGGAGGCAGCAGUGGGGAAUAUUGCACAAUGGGCGCAAGCCUGAUGCAGCAACGCCGCGUGCGGGAUAACGGCCUUCGGGUUGUAAACCGCCUUCAGCAGGGACGAAGCUUUUUGUGACGGUACCUGCAGAAGAAGCACCGGCUAACUACGUG